AAGAGUUGUAAAACUCCUUAAACCCACUGUGAACUUACCUUUGUCGUUGCUUCGGCGGGUAGCCCCAGGGCGGGGCUUCGCCUAUUUUUAGGUGCCCGCCGAAUGCUUUUCAAACUCUUGUUAUUUUGAUACUCUGAGUUACUAUUUUAAAUAAGUCA
rnacentral:misc_RNA from 1 species